CCCUUAGAUGUUCUGGGCCGCACGCGUGCUACACUGAGUGGAUCAGCGGGUCAGGUUGCGCGAAAGUGUUUCCUAAUCUUGAAAUCCGCUCGUGAUGGGGAUUGACGGUUGCAAUUUUCCGUCAUGAACGAGGAAUACCUUGUAAGCGCGGGUCAUCAUCCCGCGCUGAAUACGUCCCUGCCCUUUGUACACACCGCCCGUCGCACCUACCGAUUGAAUGGUCCGGUGAAGCCUCGGGAUUGUGGCCAGUUCACUUUAUUGGGAGUUGGCUGUGAGAACUUGUCUAAACCUUAUCAUUUAGAGGAAGGUGAAGUCGUAACA
rnacentral:rRNA from 1 species